GAUGAACGCUGGCGGCGUGCUUAACACAUGCAAGUCGAACGAAGCACCUCUCCCGAAGAUUGACACAGCUUGCUGUAGAUUGAUUCAUUUGAGGUGACUGAGUGGCGGACGGGUGAGUAACGCGUGGGUAACCUGCCUCAUAGAGGGGGACAACAGUUGGAAACGACUGCUAAUACCGCAUAGUAAGAAGAAUUCGCAUGUUUUCUUCUUGAAAGAUUUAUCGCUAUGAGAUGGACCCGCGUCUGAUUAGCUAGUUGGUAAGGUAACGGCUUACCAAGGCGACGAUCAGUAGCCGGCUUGAGAGAGUGAACGGCCACAUUGGGACUUAGACACGGCCCAAACUCCUACGGGAGGCAGCAGUGGGGAAUAUUGCACAAUGGGGGAAACCCUGAUGCAGCGACGCCGCGUGAGUGAAGAAGUAUUUCGGUAUGUAAAGCUCUAUCAGCAGGGAAGAUAAUGACGGUACCUGACUAAGAAGCCCCGGCUAACUACGUG
rnacentral:rRNA from 1 species